rnacentral:rRNA from 1 species
GACGAACGCUGGCGGCGUGCUUAACACAUGCAAGUCGAACGGAAAGGCCCUGCUUUUGUGGGGUGCUCGAGUGGCGAACGGGUGAGUAACACGUGAGUAACCUGCCCUUGACUUUGGGAUAACUUCAGGAAACUGGGGCUAAUAUCGGAUAGGAGCUCCUGCUGCAUGGUGGGGGUUGGAAAGUUUCGGCGGUUGGGGAUGGACUCGCGGCUUAUCAGCUUGUUGGUGGGGUAGUGGCUUACCAAGGCUUUGACGGGUAGCCGGCCUGAGAGGGUGACCGGCCACAUUGGGACUGAGAUACGGCCCAGACGCCUACGGGAGGCAACAGUGGGGAAUAUUGCACAAUGGGCGGAAGCCUGAUGCAGCAACGCCGCGUGCGGGAUGACGGCCUUCGGGGUGUAAACCGCUUUCGCCUGUGACGAAGCGUGAGUGACGGUAAUGGGUAAAGAAGCACCGGCUAACUACGUG